GUCCCCCUCCCUUACUCCAGCCGCUCCUCUGUGGAGUGGUCUGGCAUUGACGGGGGAAACAGCACACACGCUGCCACACACGCUUACUGCUGUCUCUCAGUAGGGGUCAGGUGGUGGAGUGGACACU
ensembl:snoRNA Small nucleolar RNA SNORA49